rnacentral:misc_RNA from 1 species
UACGUAGGUGGCAAGCGUUGUCCGGAUUUAUUGGGUUUAAAGGGUGCGUAGGCGGCCUGAUAAGUCAGCGGUGAAAUCCCACGGCUCAACCGUGGAACUGCCGUUGAUACUGUCAGGCUUGAGUUCGGUCGAGGCGGGCGGAACUGGUGGUGUAGCGGUGAAAUGCAUAGAUACCACCGAGAACCCCGAUUGCGAAGGCAGCUCGCUGGGCCGAAACUGACGCUGAGGCACGAAAGCGUGGGGAGCGAACAGG